ensembl:antisense 4731419I09Rik RIKEN cDNA 4731419I09 gene
GAGUUCCAGUAGAUUGGGUGGCGGAGGCUGGAGCACCCCGGCAGGCGCGAGCCGAGCAGCGCGGCCCAGAGCACAGUCCGCAGCAGGGGCAGCAGCCGCAUCGCCCCUGGGGUCCAGUCUGGUCUGGCCCGGCUGGUCCCGGCCCACUUCUCUGUCCCGGCGAGAAAGCUCUGAGACUGGACAAGUUUGAAGAGAGUGUUCAGUGAAUAAAGGCCCCAAACACUGGAGAAGUAUAUGGGGAAAUGAGGAGACCUGCAGACAGCUUACCAUAUUCACACCUCCGGAGAAGUCAGGGGAACAGAUGGAAUUCUGAAUGGCCAUGCCCACCAUGGGACCAGAGAAGGAAGUUACACUGCAGGGCAGAGGUGAGAGAUCAGAGUCUAAAGCCAUCAUUGUCAGAGCCUCACGGGAGAUGAAGGGAUGGACACUCAGCCGUGACAGGAUAGCAUCAGGCCCCGGUAGCAGAGUUUGGGAUCCUUACGUCACCAGUUGGGCACUGUCAUGGGGCAGUCGAGGCAGCAAGUCUGUCCGGCGCCAGCGGAGGAAGUUGUCUAGCAGGACAGCUGGGUUGGAGCUCAUUUCUAUCAGGUUGUGCUGGGUCCAUGCCUCUAGGCCCACAAGGGCUACCCGGACAUUCAAGGGCUGGAAGAACUAAAAGGGCCCAGGCUCAGAAAAGGGGCGGGGCCGCAGUAAGAUAGUGAUGGGGCUAGGGCCACAGUAAGGGAGGGCUGGGCCUCCUACCCAGCCCCAGACUCACCGUGUCUAGCAAGAGAGCCGCUUCUAGUGUCCGGUUCAGCAGUUGUUGGAAGUCAGGGUACUUUCUGACCUGGGGAUGGGGGGGGGGNNNNNNNNNNNNNNNNNNNNNNNNNGGGGAAUGGGGGGAGUGGGGUUAUCUUGAAAUGUAGGAAAGUGGGGGUGGGGCAGGGAGCAGGAGAGGGCUAUGGUGUCAACACACUCACCUCUGAAUUAUCAGCCACAAUCACCAACUCCACAAUUUUCGUCUCUGUUACUACAUCUCGCUUAAGCUGUGGAUAAGAAGUGAGAUGUGUCAGGCAGAUUCUCCUCAGGGCCAGGGCUGGGUAAGCUGUGUCCAUACCCACUUUGAGUAGUUAAGAUGAAGAAGACCUCACAGGGUGUGUGAGAGCUCAGAGACCUGCCCAUAGUGGACCAAGGACAGAUUAUGAAGCCCAUAAUGGGACUCUAUUUUCCCACUCCAAAGCAAGCUUUUGGUUUUUUUGAGACAGUGUCUUGCUGUGCAGCUCCGGCUGGCAGUGAACUCUAUCCUCCUGCCUCUGACCCCCAAACAGCUGCUAGGAAACAGUUGUGUAUCAUCAAACCUGGCUUCCUUCGAUUUUAAGAAAUACUAACUAAAGCCAGGCAUGUUGGUUGCUUUAAUCCCAGCACAGGCAGAGGCAGGUGGAUCUCUGUGAGUUCAAGGCCAGCCUGGUUAAGUUUCAGGACAGCCAAGGCUAUAUAUAUAUAUAUAGAGAGAGAGAGACCCUAUCUUAAACACAAACAAACAAAAGCAAAUCAAAACCUAUUAUGGGUGGGUAUGGCAGAGCAGACCUUUAAUCCCGUUACUCAGGAGGCAAACAGACAAAGAAACACAAAAACAAAAACAACUAAAUAACAGCUGACACAUACAGUGUUCCAGGCACCAGUUCUAAGCACUUGCCAUAUCAAUUCACUUUAAUUUUCACACUGUAGUGUAAUCUCCAUCUUUGAAAAUUAGGAUUUCUUCCUUGGAAAAUAGAGCUUUGGGCAGCACCUGCCUUCUCGGGUUGCUAGGAAUAGCAAUCGAGGCAGUGUUCACACCAUGUCUGAAACAUGGGGAUGGCUCCCUCAGCAGCAGCAACCGUCCCUGGGGUCUGGGCUCUCAGGCUGCCUCCUCACCCUGUGAGCGUGAUGCUGUUCCAGAAGGAGGUCUGGUCCUGCCCGAGUGGGCACAGAGGCAUGCCAGCUUGGGGCACAGGUGUGGCCCAGCAACAGGUGGUCUUGGAUCCGAGAAAUGACAGGACGCUGAAGGUCCCCAGGGCCCAGCUCCAGUGUAUAGCCUCUCUCUGGGGACAGGACAAUGAGCCCCCUAAGGAAAAAGACAGGGAGUCAGAGUAUUUCAGCUCCCUGCCUGUGUGGAUCCUCUUCCCUGGUAGCUAACCCACCCACAGUACCUGAUCCCAGAGCAGGCACAGAGGGACACCCAGGAGCUGGGGUGGCCCUGCACUCGUCCUCGGUAGCAGCAGUUUUCCUACAGCAGGGAAGCCACAUUAGUUAGCACCAGCCCACAGGGGAGACCAGACAACCCUAGAGUCCAGCUUGCCAGCAAGGGCAGGCAGGACCCUCCCACUUCCUCCAGGGCUGCCAUCCUCCCUUCUUCCUUCCCUCUUUUGCCCAGGCCUGAAACAGCACCAGAGGGCCUGACUCACUAGACUGUAGCCCUCGCUGACCAUUCGGGUGCCAUCAGGCUGGUACCACACCAGAGUUGGGCGGCCAGGGAUUAGAUCUCUGUGAGAAAAAGAGGGCAGGAUUUGAGCCACUUCACAGGGUAUUGGGGUGACAAGCUAGGGCCUGAGGUGGGCAAGGGUUUGUUAGGAACCAGGCAAUGCCACCAAACGAACUACUCAGUUCCUCGGAGGCCACACAGAUGAGCUGUCGCUCCUCCUGCCUGUCUGAGUUCCAGGAUGAUUUUUGACAUCUAUAACUGUACGAACUCAGGCAAGUUAUUUAAUUUCUCUGAGUUUUAACUUCUUCAAAUGUUAAAUAAAGAUGAUAAGUAAUAGCAUCUACCUUAUAGGAUUGUUGUUAAGGAGUCCGUGAGUGUAGUUCUCAGUGCAUAAUAAAGGUUAUGUAA